rnacentral:rRNA from 1 species
AUUGAACGCUGGCGGCAGGCCUAACACAUGCAAGUCGGACGGUAGCACAGAGAGCUUGCUCUCGGGUGACGAGUGGCGGACGGGUGAGUAAUGUCUGGGGAUCUGCCCGAUAGAGGGGGAUAACCGCUGGAAACGGUGGCUAAUACCGCAUAACGUCGCAAGACCAAAGAGGGGGACCUUCGGGCCUCUCACUAUCGGAUGAACCCAGAUGGGAUUAGCUAGUAGGCGGGGUAACGGCCCACCUAGGCGACGAUCCCUAGCUGGUCUGAGAGGAUGACCAGCCACACUGGAACUGAGAGAGAGCGCAGACUCCUACGGGUAGCAGCAGUGGGGAAUAUUGCACAAUGGGGGCAAGCCUGAUUCAGCCAUGCCGCGGGUAUGAAGAAGGCCUUCGGGUUGUAAAGUACUUUCAGCGGGGAGGAAGGCGGGGAGGUUAAUAACCUCGCCGAUUGACGUUACCCGCAGAAGAAGCACCGGCUAACUCCGUGCCAGCCGCCGCCGUAA